ACUCCUACGGGAGGCAGCAGUGGGGAAUAUUGCACAAUGGGGAAACCCUGAUGCAGCCAUGCCGCGUGUGUGAAGAAGGCCUCGGUUGUAAAGCACUUCAGUAGGGAGGAAGGUAGUGUAGUUAACACCUGCAUUAUUUGACGUUACCUACAGAAGAAGCACCGGCUAACUCCGUGCCAGCAGCCGCGGUAAUACGGAGGGGUGCGAGCGUUAAUCGGAAUUACUGGGCGUAAAGCGCAUGCAGGCGGCCUGUUAAGUCAGAUGUGAAAGCCCGGGGGCUUAACCUCGGAAUUGCAUUUGAAACUGGCAGGCUAGAGUCUUGUAGAGGGGGUAGAAUUUCAGGUGUAGCGGUGAAAUGCGUAGAGAUCUGAAGGAAUACCAGUGGCGAAGGCGGCCCCCUGGACAAAGACUGACGCUCAGAUGCGAAAGCGUGGGGAGCGAAACAGGAUUAGAUACCCUGGUAGCACAGAG
rnacentral:rRNA from 1 species